AAACUUUAGCUCUUCUAAAUAUGGGCAUCAAUGACCAUAUAAGGCAAUGCAAACGAAGGACACUAUCCUUGGGGAAUAUGUUUGAUAUGUGAUUAGCCUAUUUUUUAAUUUCAUACUUUUUUGCAGAAAAGCAGGUAAAACAACGCCUUGUUUAAUCUAUUAUUUAAAUAGUGAUGAGUCGCCCUUUUUCCACAAAGUACAAAUCCUUUAAGCGGUGCUGACGUAGGCUUCGUUUGCUUGUGAAUGGUUAACUAAUAAACUUAUCUUCUGAACGUACUUUUCCUAAUUUACUUGUCUUUUUCAUUUGUUUAGUAGCAUCAUUAUUUAUUCCAAAACACAAGAAGAAGAGAGGGUAUUCCAAACCAGGUUGUACAUAGGGUGUGGAAUGUUCAAGAAAAUAUUUUCCCAGAGCAAGUAAGAGUGCAAAACGGUUGGAGAAUUUUCGUCUUAAGGCUGAUUCAGACAGCAAGAUUUAAUUGUACACAACCUGCCUACGACUUGUCUUUAGCCCUGUAUUAUACGCUACGUCUUUCGUAGCCGAACGUCGUAGCGGAGUCGAAGAGGUGUCGUAGGCAGGUCGCAUACCACUAAAUUGUGCUGUCUGAAUCAGCAUUUAAAUUUCAUGUUUAAAUUAAAUAUAUCAAUAUCAUAAAUACGUAACUAAUGGAAAACGAUCAGAGUCGAGAAAAAGAAACCAAGACAAUCUGCAUGAUGAUAUAAUACGUUUUUUGUCGGGGACUUUGGGGAGAGAUAAAGAAUGAAAAUCAUGUUUUGUUCCACGCGACUCUCAAUAUCACUUCAAACUUCUCAGCACCACGGCUUAAUAUGGGAUUUUUGCUUCAAGUGUUUAACAGGGAGAACACUGUUUAACAUUGUCAUUAUUAUGGGCGAAGAGCCAUAGAAUGUAAACAAUACGUCAAACUAAGAUUAUGACGCAGCAUUUUCACGCAGAAAAUGGAGUCAUACGAUUCGUUUCGUUUCUAUAAAACGUGGUUAAUUCCAGUAAAUCCUUUAAUAUGUUUGUAAAAGCAUUUUAACACCGUCCUUUGAGUGUAGGCAGCUUUUAACUAAUGGCAAUGAACGAGAGGGCACUCCUGCACUUCCUAUAAAUUGGUCCUUCUAACAUGGAUUCAGUUUCUGAACUUUUGUUUAGCGGGUCUUUAUUUCGGAAGCUGGGGGAAUUUAUCUACAACAAAGAACAGAAAACACAUAAAAGACAUCUGGAGCGAAUCUUAACGCACAGUAUUUCGCUUGUGAAUCGGAGAAAUGGCGACAUCUAGCACGCAAAGUGUAGUCUUCAAUGUGCUGGUGGUUUUGGUAUUGUUGUCCGUGAUAGAACUCGGGCAGACGUUAACACUUGGGCCUUGUACCGGCUGCCCUGACCCGCCGUGUUGCAAAAGAAGACUAAUAAUCAAAAAGGAGAUCCUUUCAAGACACCGAAAGCGCGACCUGUGUGCCGUAGUCCGUUCCAUUCCAUGUGGUUUUCAAGACACUCAAGAAAACAAAAACUCCUACUUUUAAAGAAACCUUCCCCCAAUACCUCCCAUACUUAGAAAAGCCGACGAACUGAUGGCACUGAGAAAUAUCUCAUAAGGACAUGUCGAAUGUAAAGAACAAAGAAUGGGUAAAUUGAAGUCCUCGCCGCAUGCUAGUUUACUGUUCGAAGUAUCACUUUUCGUCUGACUUUAAGUGUAGUCAUAACUACACUCUGAUAGCUACCACUUAAACUCUACUAUAACUUCUACAUCCAGUUUGGACUGUUAUGUAAUCUUUUCUUGAACGAAACCAGUUUAUAUAAUCUAUAUAUCAUACAAACAACUGAAAAAGUAAAUAUAACCAUUAAUAGCUGCA